rnacentral:rRNA from 1 species
UACGUAGGCAGCGAGCGUUGUUCGGAGUUACUGGGCGUAAAGGGUGUGUAGGCGGUUGUUUACGUUUGGUGUGAAAUCUCCCGGCUCAACUGGGAGGGUGCGCCGAAUACUGAAUGACUUCGAGUGCGGGAGAGGAAAGUGGAAUUCCUGGUGUAGCGGUGAAAUGCGUAGAUAUCAGGAGGAACACCGGUGGUGUAGACGGCUUUCUGGACCGUAACUGACGCUGAGACACGAAAGCGUGGGUAGCAAACAGG